UUUUUUACCCUUGUUCUUUCUGUUUCAAUUUUAUUGCUGAAAGUAAUUUGUUGCUGAAAGUUAAAUGUGUUGUUACUGAUUAUCAUGAACCUUGAAUUUGUUGUUGGCUUUCCAAAAUAAUCACUUAAGUUUGCAGUUGCAUUUUUCUUCUACUAUAUCGAAUAAGAUUACAAAAACUGUUCCCAUUCAUGUAGAAUGAAGUCACUUAGUGUUUGUUCUCUCGCUAAGUGUAUAGUUUUCCUAUUGAUACAUAGAUAGUUAUACUUUUUCUUUUCUAUUUUUUUCAUUAUUCCCUAUGUUUAUCUAUGAGCUUCUUGUGUCAUGAAAAUUGAUUUGAGAUAUUUUAUUUUGUGUGAUAUCUGAUUUGUUUAUAUCUCAUGAAAGAGUCAAGUUUUAUCAAACACUAUAUUCUAUAAUCUCAUUGUUCAUGCUGUCAUAUAUAACUUUUUUUCCCUUUGUUAGGUCUCAGAGAUAAGAAUUGUGUGCCAUGCAAUUUGAAGGAACUGCGACCGAUGACCGAGGAUGCAGCACACACUUUGAUUCCACAGGUUUCUGAGUGAAAUUCGGUAAAAGAAGAUGGCAUAUUUAAACUGAAGAGGACAUGGAAAGUAAAGACUUUCACCAAAGGCUUGAAAUUCUUCAAGAUAGUAGCUGACCUUGCUGAAAGUGAAGGCAAUUACUUUGUGCCCUAAUGUUCCUGUGUAUUGUGCAAACCGUGCUCUCUGCCAUCUUAAGCGCCAGUAAGUAUAGUAUGAUAACAUAUCUUCUUGAUUUUUAAUUUAAUUUUAUUUUUGACUUCUGUUUGGGUAUUUACUCUUUAGAGAUUUCGAAGUCUUUAGCUUCAAUGGUCGUGUUGUAUUGGUUAAGUAUAUUCGAUUUUCUUCUAAGUAGAAAAUUGGUUAAAUUGAAUAUAUUUUAUUAUUUACUAUAUUUGCAAGUUUUCUAUAUUUUUAGAUGUUAAAGAAAAUAAUCCGAGCGAUGUAUAGGGAAGUAAGCAAUUAUUCGUUGGGAGUUGGGUUUGCACACCUUAGAAAUUGCAUGGCAUGGUUGAAUAGGCUUACGUUAGGGAAUAUAAUAUUUUAUAUAGUUGUUGAGGUUUAGAUCAAUUUAAAUUUGUACUUAGCUAAUAGGUGAUUAGUUAUCUGAGAAAUGUUAAAACUGUGGACUCAUGGACAUGUUACUGCAACAUUAACAGUUGUGUUUGAGUUUUUUCUUGAACAUGUAUUAAAUUCUUGGUCUUUUAUUGUAAGCAUAACUGAGUAUAAUUUAAUACUAUCUCUAUCUUGAUAUAUAUUUUAUUAACAACUAUAAACGUUCUUAUAUAGUCUUAAUUAAUUAGUUUACAAAAAUCAAACGUGCAUUGAAUUUGCUGUCUGUUUCAAACUCAAACAAAGCGAUCAACUAUUUUAGAUUUUCCAGAUCUUGUGUUUCUAAUACUCUAAUGUGUUUGUGUGUCUUUUUAAUGUAAUUUGUCAUGUUUUAACUAAUUUCUAAUCAAUUGUUCAAUUUUUUUUGGGUUUCAAGUGAAAAACAUUACAAGAUGAGCGAAUAAA